ACCACUUUUAGUUCAGAAUAGAAAAACAAACGUGGUAUCUGAUUGGCUGGGAGGAUGGAGCAGGUUUCCACCUUUUACAUCCAAAUCGAAUCAAAGGCAAAGAAGCAUUUAAUACUAGUUUCAGAUAAAGCCGGUGUGGGAUUUGUAUAGAGUUUGGCUCUCUGAGAUGAAAAGAAGAACAGUAAAGAUUCUGCUUGUUCUAGGGAUCCUAUGGAUGCAGAUGGCCUGGGUGAUUGGCCAGCAGCUGGAGCAGAGCCCUCAGUCCACCAGUGUCCAACAGGGACAGAAGGUCACCAUGAGCUGCAAUUCUUCUAGCACUUUGACCUCCUUACAAUGGUACAGGCAGGAACCUGGCAAACAACCAGUCUUCUUGAUGAUCUUAAUUAAAGGCAAAGAAGUCAAGAGUCAGGGGAAAUUUAUUGCCCAGUUUGACGAAAAAAGGAAAAACAGCUUUUUGAUCCUCGAGGCUGCCCAGCCCCAAGAUUCAGCUACCUACCUCUGUGCUGGGAGUCACAGUGCUCCACAGGCAGCAACAACCUCUACACAAACCCUGCAGCUGGGACCCCAGCAACCUCUUUUGUUUUCUACUUUUUUUCUGUUUUUCUUUGCACAGUUUUUACACUGUGUGCAAGCGCGCUCAACCCUCUGUCUUCCUAUAUGCCAAAUACACCUGGGCCAACUUUCAGCAGAUGAAGAGGAUUGUAAAGUUUGUAAGGAACUAGAAACAAAGUAGAAGAGUCACCAAUUCUAUCUACUCUGAACAGCUUUGGCUAAAAUUUUAGGCUGCUCCAUCCUUUGAAGAUGUGGGUCUGGAAGGAGGCAAGCAGUAUUUAGAGGAGAUGACUAUGAGAUCAUGCAAAGAGCAGGACCUCCUGCUAGUAGAGUAGUGCCACUAAAAGAAAAAAAAAAGGCUUUUUUUCAUAGGGAUUGCCAUGUAUAUGCAAACAGUGCAUCCCCCCAGCCUCAUGGAUAAAACUAAUUAAGAUUAUUAUGAAUGAAUCAAUUGAAUUAACAUGUAAAGCACUUUGUAAACUUUUCAGUACCAUAUAAAUACAAGCCAUUAUUAUACAUUUUAACAUAUUGUUAUGAUACUCAUUAUUCCUGUCUUUCAGUUGUGUCUCACUCUUUAUGACCCCAUUUGGGGAUUUCAUGGCAGAAAUAUUGGAGGAGCUUAAUGAAUAAUGAAAAAUUAAUCCUUCUCCAGCUCAUUUUACAGAUGGGGAACUUGAGACAAAUGUGGUUAAGUGACUUGACUAGGGUC